GGCUCGAUCCUUCUGCUUCUUCUUGUUGGUGGCAUCAUCCAAGCCCCGAGACACUCUCCUCUGGCCAGGGGCAUUGGUGCUGCUGGACAUUUUCAGCCGUUUGGAUGACACAAACGGCCCACCAGGGUCGGUAAUGGAGUCUGGGUCAGGGGUGCGACGUUUUCUUCCUGGCCCAGCUAUCUUGGCGACUCUCUGUGCUCAAACUCUCUGGCAAGGAACUAGUGGCGGCCCGGCCGCCGCUCCGCGCUGCCCCGGUCCGAGCCGAAGUUCCGAGCGGGCCCACUCC
rnacentral:lncRNA from 1 species